UACACUCUUCCACGCCUUCCA
rnacentral:misc_RNA from 1 species